rnacentral:rRNA from 1 species
UACGUAGGGUGCAAGCGUUGUCCGGAAUUAUUGGGCGUAAAGAGCCCGUAGGCGGUUUGUCACGUCUGCUGUGAAAUCCCGAGGCUCAACCUCGGGCCUGCAGUGGGUACGGGCAGACUGGAGUGCGGUAGGGGAGAAUGGAAUUCCUGGUGUAGCGGUGGAAUGCGCAGAUAUCAGGAGGAACACCGAUGGCGAAGGCAGCUCGCUGGGACGGUACUGACGCUGAGGCGCGAAAGCGUGGGGAGCAAACAGG